CAGUCGCCACGGUAAUACGUAGGGUGCGAGCGCUAAUCGGAAUUACUGGGCGUAAAGCGUGCGCAGGCGGUUUUGUAAGACAGGCGUGAAAUCCCCGGGCUCAACCUGGGAAUGGCGCUUGUGACUGCAAAGCUAGAGUGCGGCAGAGGGGGAUGGAAUUCCGCGUGUAGCAGUGAAAUGCGUAGAUAUGCGGAGGAACACCGAUGGCGAAGGCAAUCCCCUGGGCCUGCACUGACGCUCAUGCACGAAAGCGUGGGGAGCAAACAGGAUUAGAUACCCCAGUAGUCCCUGUCUCUUAUAC
rnacentral:rRNA from 1 species